GACGAACGCUGGCGGCGUGCUUAACACAUGCAAGUCGAACGGAAAGGCCCUGCUUGCAGGGUACUCGAGUGGCGAACGGGUGAGUAACACGUGGGUGAUCUGCCCUGCACUUCGGGAUAAGCCUGGGAAACUGGGUCUAAUACCGGAUAGGAGCCAUUUUUAGUGUGAUGGUUGGAAAGUUUUUUCGGUGUAGGAUGAGCUCGCGGUCUAUCAGCUUGUUGGUGGGGUAAUGGCCUACCAAGGCGGCGACGGGUAGCCGGCCUGAGAGGGUGGACGGCCACAUUGGGACUGAGAUACGGCCCAGACUCCUACGGGAGGCAGCAGUGGGGAAUAUUGCACAAUGGGCGCAAGCCUGAUGCAGCGACGCCGCGUGGGGGAUGACGGCCUUCGGGUUGUAAACUCCUUUCGCUAGGGACGAAGCUUUUUGUGACGGUACCUAGAGAAGAAGCACCGGCUAACUACGCG
rnacentral:rRNA from 1 species